GGGGGUCCGAACUGUUUAACGCGCGCGGGUACCCCCCGGGCAUGUUACACUCUUAUAAUUUUCUUCUCUUUUUCCUCUCAAAACUGAGAGUCUCUCUUUCUUUCUCUCAAAAACUCACUUUUUCCACUUCAAUCCUUAGAUCUACACUCUUAGAGGUGUCUUCUCAUCUUGAUCCUUUGAGAUAACUUGAAGAUCUUGUCAAGAGCUUUCUAUUGGUCUGAGAAGUUCGUGGCUUCGUCAACCUUGAGUUUUUCGUGUUUUCUUCAUAAUGACUUGAGGAAAUGAUGGAGUUCCACCUCCCUGAAGGAUUGGUCAAGCAAUAGCUCCUUUUUGGAAAAGUUGAUCCAUGUGUAUUUUGUUAUUUUGAAUUGGAAUUUUUGUAACAAGAACUAUUACUUUAUUUUGUCGUAAUUGUACGCCCUAGAGGCUUGUAUUUUGUAAGGCCACCUAGUUCAUUGAACUGGAAUAUGAAUUCUGAGCAGUAUGGGAAUUUAUAUGGUGAAUUGUAACCUCUUAUCUCUUAGUUCAAUGAGAAGGUGGACUUUUUGGGUAUUUUAUUGUAUUUGUUUUGGUAUGUUCUUGUGGGAAAAUUUCAGGGUGCUACAAAAGAAGUAUUCCUGCCGUACAAAUAGCCAUCCAAGAGGAUGUCUAAUGAGGUUGGGACACAAAGUUAUCCAAGAUGUUUUGAUCUUGUCGAGGUGGUUUGGACCCUUGUAGGGCUUCAGGUCUGUUGGAUGGUAGGUGAGUGCGUUGCCCGCAAGUGGCUGUGAUGUUGGGCAGUGAGUAGAGGAGUCACGCCCGUGGUCAGGGCGGUCGCACCCACGACCAGAAUUAUUCGGCGGUCACGCCCUCAGUGGAGGAGGUUGCAGCCUCGACAUGUUGGGGUGGCAAGUUCGCACCCGUGAUAAUUUAGACCUCGGCUGCGAUGAGUCGUGUAUAUAAGUCAUCUAUAUGCUAAAAAAGUCAUUUUUUUGUCCUCUUCUCUCUCUCUCUCUCUCUCUUUUCUCUCUCCUUCUGCCAUUUUUGGGUUUCUUUGACUUAAAAGCUUGGGUUUCAUCAAGCUACACCCAAUUUCUACCCUUAGUCCUUCAUACCAAAACGUAGAGGGUUGUGAGGGCUUCAAUUUAAUUGAGCGAAUCGUGUUUUCGUCACCGGUGGUUUUUUUGGCUUUUCUUCUCUUCACUUCAAAAGGUAAGAAUUCCUUUGCUCCUCAUCAAUACAUUCUCA